rnacentral:rRNA from 1 species
AGAGUUUGAUCAUGGCUCAGAUUGAACGCUGGCGGCAUGCUUUACACAUGCAAGUCGAACGGCAGCGCGGGGGCAACCCUGGCGGCGAGUGGCGAACGGGUGAGUAAUGCAUCGGAACGUAUCCUGUAAUGGGGGAUAACGUAGCGAAAGUUACGCUAACACCGCAUACGCUCGAGAGAGGAAAGUGGGGGAUCGCAAGACCUCACGUUAUAGGAGCGGCCGAUGUCCGAUUAGCUAGUUGGUGGGGUAAAGGCCUACCAAGGCGACGAUCGGUAGCUGGUCUGAGAGGAUGAUCAGCCACACUGGGACUGAGACACGGCCCAGACUCCUACGGGAGGCAGCAGUGGGGAAUUUUGGACAAUGGGCGAAAGCCUGAUCCAGCCAUGCCGCGUGCGGGAAGAAGGCCUUCGGGUUGUAAACCGCUUUAGUCCGGGAAAAAGGGGUGCGAGGAUAAUACCCUCGUGCUUUGAUGGUGCUGGAAGAAUAAGCACCGGCUAACUACGUG